rnacentral:tRNA from 1 species
GCCCGGUACCGACGGCGCCUCUUCCGCUUCGUGCGCUGAGGCGGGCGGUUCGAAUCCGCCCCCGGGCAC